UACGUAGGGGGCAAGCGUUGUCCGGAUUUAUUGGGCGUAAAGAGCGUGUAGGCGGCUGGGUAGGUCCGUUGUGAAAACUCGAGGCUCAACCUCGAGACGCCGAUGGAAACCCCCCAGCUAGAGUCCGGAAGAGGAGAGUGGAAUUCCUGGUGUAGCGGUGAAAUGCGCAGAUAUCAGGAGGAACACCGAUGGCGAAGGCAGGUCUCUGGGCAUUAACUGACGCUGAGGAGCGAAAGCAUGGGGAGCGAGCAGG
rnacentral:rRNA from 1 species